rnacentral:rRNA from 1 species
UACGUAGGUGGCAAGCGUUGUCCGGAAUUAUUGGGCGUAAAGCGCGCGCAGGCGGUUCUUUAAGUCUGAUGUGAAAGCCCACGGCUCAACCGUGGAGGGUCAUUGGAAACUGGAGAACUUGAGUACAGAAGAGGAAAGCGGAAUUCCACGUGUAGCGGUGAAUGCGCAGAUAUCAGGAAGAACACCCGUGGCUAAGGCGGCGUCUCUAGUACGGUACUGACGCUGAGACGCGAAAGCGUGGGAGCGAA